ensembl:rRNA 5S_rRNA 5S ribosomal RNA
GCCAGCAGCCAUAUCAUCCUGCAACUCACAACUGGCAACCCACUAAAGCUAAGCAGGUGUGAGCCUGGUCAGUACCUGGAUGUGAGACCUCCUGGGAAAAAUUAAGGUUGCUGCUGGAA